rnacentral:rRNA from 1 species
GAUGAACGCUGGCGGCGUGCCUAAUACAUGCAAGUCGAGCGAACAGACGAGGAGCUUGCUCCUCUGACGUUAGCGGCGGACGGGUGAGUAACACGUGGAUAACCUACCUAUAAGACUGGGAUAACUUCGGGAAACCGGAGCUAAUACCGGAUAAUAUAUUGAACCGCAUGGUUCAGUAGUGAAAGACGGUUUUGCUGUCACUUAUAGAUGGAUCCGCGCCGCAUUAGCUAGUUGGUAAGGUAACGGCUUACCAAGGCAACGAUGCGUAGCCGACCUGAGAGGGUGAUCGGCCACACUGGAACUGAGACACGGUCCAGACUCCGACGGGAGGCGGCAGUAGGGAAGCUUCCGCAAUGGGCGAAAGCCUGACGGAGCAACGCCGCGUGAGUGAUGAAGGUCUUCGGAUCGUAAAACUCUGUUAUUAGGGAAGAACAAAUGUGUAAGUAACUAUGCACGUCUUGACGGUACCUAAUCAGAAAGCCACGGCUAACUACGU